AGGGUUUGAUUAUGGCUCAGAACGAACGCUUGCUGCAUGCUUUAUACAUGCAAGUCGAACGAAGGCCCUAGCUUGCUAGGUGUCCUUAGUGGCGCACGGGUGAGUAACACGUGGGAACAUACCUCAUAGUACGGAAUAACUGCGGGAAACUGUAGCUAAUACCGUAUAUUCCAGCAAUGGGAAAGAUUUAUCGCUAUGAGAUUGGCCCGCGCAAGAUUAGUUUGUUGGUAAGGUAAUGGCUUACCAAGGCUACGAUCUUUAGCUGGUUUGAGAGGAUGAUCAGCCACACUGGGACUGAGACACGGCCCAGACUCCUACGGGAGGCAGCAGUAGGGAAUAUUGGACAAUGGGGGCAACCCUGAUCCAGCAAUGCAGCGUGAGUGACGAAGGCCUUAGGGUUGUAAAACUCUUUCAUCGGUGAGGAUAAUGACAGUAACCGAAGAAGAAGGACCGGCUAAUUCCGUGCCAGCAGCCGCGGUAAUAC
rnacentral:rRNA from 1 species